rnacentral:rRNA from 1 species
AGAGUUUGAUCCUGGCUCAGGACGAACGCUGGCGGCGUGCCUAACACAUGCAAGUCGAGCGGGGAACGGAUGGUAGCUUGCUACUGUUUGUUUCUAGCGGCGGACGGGUGAGUAACGCGUGAGCAACCUGCCUUUAUCAGGGGGAUAACGCAUCGAAAGAUGUGCUAAUACCGCGUAAGACCACAGCUUCACAUGGAGCGGGGGUCAAAGGAGCAAUCCGGAUAAAGAUGGGCUCGCGUCCGAUUAGCUAGUUGGUGAGAUAACAGCCCACCAAGGCGACGAUCGGUAGCCGACCUGAGAGGGUGAUCGGCCACAUUGGAACUGAGAGACGGUCCAGACUCCUACGGGAGGCAGCAGUGGGGAAUAUUGGGCAAUGGGCGAAAGCCUGACCCAGCAACGCCGCGUGAGGGAAGAAGGGUUUCGGCUCGUAAACCUCUGUCCUAUGGGACGAAGGAAGUGACGGUACCAUAGGAGGAAGCCCCGGCUAACUACGUGCCAGCAGCCGCGGUAAUACGUAGGGGGCGAGCGUUGUCCGGAAUGAUUGGGCGUAAAGGGCGCGUAGGCGGCCUGCUAAGUCUGGAGUGAAAGUCCUGCUUUCAAGGUGGGAAUUGCUUUGGAUACUGGUGGGCUGGAGUGCAGGAGAGGAAAGCGGAAUUACCGGUGUAGCGGUGAAAUGCGUAGAGAUCGGUAGGAACACCAGUGGCGAAGGCGGCUUUCUGGACUGAAACUGACGCUGAGGCGCGAAAGCGUGGGGAGCAAACAGGAUUAGAUACCCUGGUAGUCCACGCGGUAAACGAUGAAUGCUAGGUGUAGGAGGUAUCGACCCCUUCUGUGCCGCAGUAAACACAAUAAGCAUUCCGCCUGGGGAGUACGGCCGCAAGGUUGAAACUCAAAGGAAUUGACGGGGGCCCGCACAAGCAGCGGAGCAUGUGGUUUAAUUCGAAGCAACGCGAAGAACCUUACCAGGUCUUGACAUCCGAUGCAUAGUGCAGAGAUGCA